AUUGAACGCUGGCGGCAGGCCUAACACAUGCAAGUCGAGCGGAUGAAGGGAGCUUGCUCCUGGAUUCAGCGGCGGACGGGUGAGUAAUGCCUAGGAAUCUGCCUGGUAGUGGGGGAUAACGUCCGGAAACGGGCGCUAAUACCGCAUACGUCCUGAGGGAGAAAGUGGGGGAUCUUCGGACCUCACGCUAUCAGAUGAGCCUAGGUCGGAUUAGCUAGUUGGUGGGGUAAAGGCCUACCAAGGCGACGAUCCGUAACUGGUCUGAGAGGAUGAUCAGUCACACUGGAACUGAGACACGGUCCAGACUCCUACGGGAGGCAGCAGUGGGGAAUAUUGGACAAUGGGCGAAAGCCUGAUCCAGCCAUGUCGCGUGUGUGAAGAAGGUCUUCGGAUUGUAAAGCACUUUAAGUUGGGAGGAAGGGCAGUAAGUUAAUACCUUGCUGUUUUGACGUUACCAACAGAAAAAGCACCGGCUAACUUCGUG
rnacentral:rRNA from 1 species